UAAGAGAGAAAAAGCUAUUUCACUUGAUUUUCAGCAAGGAGAAUAAAGCUAAAGCAGAUAUAAUUACAACGUUUAGGAGACAAAAUAACGUUGGCUUCUUCUAAGUUUCAAGAUCAGUUUCAACAAUUGUUGGCAGAGAAGCUUUUGACUACAAUCUGCGGAAGAAUCUUGAAGACUGAGUUCAUAGCCUCAAAUGAAAAUAUUUCUCUACAUGCUCAUUUAGUGUAUUAUUUUGAUGCUCAGAAACUUUUUUCUGAAUUGUAAUUGCUGCGUCACUUAGUUUAUACUUUUUUCCAGUGAAUUAUAGAACACUUUACAUAUCUGGCACCUCGAAACACUCUUGUCCAAUAUUGGAACACUUCUUAAAUCCCCA